GAUGAACGCUGGCGGCGUGCUUAACACAUGCAAGUCGAACGAAGCACUUGUGAAUGAUUUCUUCGGAUUGAUUUCACUUGUGACUUAGUGGCGGACGGGUGAGUAACGCGUGGGUAACCUGCCGUAUGCAGGGGGACAACAGUUGGAAACGACUGCUAAUACCGCAUAACCCGCUAGUACCGCAUGGUACAGACGGAAAAGAUUUAUCGGCAUACGAUGGACCCGCGUCUGAUUAGCUUGUUGGUGAGGUAACGGCCCACCAAGGCGACGAUCAGUAGCCGAACUGAGAGGUUGACCGGCCACAUUGGGACUGAGACACGGCCCAGACUCC
rnacentral:rRNA from 1 species